rnacentral:rRNA from 1 species
AACGAACGCUGGCGGCGUGCCUAACACAUGCAAGUCGAGCGAGAAAGUCCCGGCAACGGGAUGAGUAAAGCGGCAAACGGGUGAGUAACGCGUAGGUAAUCUAUCCUUAGGAUCGGGAUAACCUGCUGAAAAGUGGGAUAAUACCGGAUAACGUUCUUGUGGGUAUCCCAUGAGAACCAAAGGGGGCGAGCGUAAGCAGCUCCCACCAAAGGAGGAGCCUGCGUCCGAUUAGCUAGUUGGUGGGGUAACGGCCUACCAAGGCGACGAUCGGUAGCCGGCCUGAGAGGGCGACCGGCCACACUGGAACUGAGACACGGUCCAGACUCCUACGGGAGGCAGCAGUGGGGAAUAUUGCGCAAUGGGCGAAAGCCUGACGCAGCGACGCCGCGUGGGUGAUGAAGGCCUUCGGGUUGUAAAGCCCUGUCUGGUGGAACGAAUGGCUUAGCGGCAAAUAACCGCUAGGCGUGACGGUACCACCGAAGGAAGCCCCGGCUAACUACGUGCCAGCAGCCGCGGUAAGACGUAGGGGGCGAGCGUUGUUCGGAUUUACUGGGCGUAAAGCGCGCGUAGGCGGCUAGAUAAGUCGGGUGUGAAAUCCCUCGGCUUAACCGAGGACCCGCAUCCGAUACUGUCUGGCUCGAGUCUAGGAGAGGAAAGCGGAAUUCCCAGUGUAGCGGUGAAAUGCGUAGAUAUUGGGAGGAACACCGGUGGCGAAGGCGGCUUUCCGGACUAGCACUGACGCUGAGGCGCGAAAGCUAGGGGAGCGAACGGGAUUAGAUACCCCGGUAGUCCUAGCCGUAAACGAUGGGCACUAGGUGUGGGAGGUAUUGACCCCUUCCGCGCCGAAGCUAACGCAUUAAGUGCCCCGCCUGGGGAGUACGGCCGCAAGGCUA